rnacentral:misc_RNA from 1 species
GAUGAAGAACGUAGCGAAAUGCGAUAAGUAGUGUGAAUUGCAGAAUUCAGUGAAUCAUCGAAUCUUUGAACGCACAUUGCGCCCCUUGGUAUUCCAUGGGGCAUGCCUGUUUGAGCGUCAUUUGUACCUUCAAGCUUUGCUUGGUGUUGGGUGUUUGUCCAUUCUCUUGCAGAGGGACUCGCCUUAAAGUAAUUGGCAGCCAGUGUUUUGGUUUUGAAGCGCAGCACAAGUCGCGAUUCAACGCUAUACGCCAGCUUCCACAAGCCUUUUUCACUUUUGCCCUCGGAUCAGGUAGGGAUACCCGCUGAACUUAAGCAUAUCAAUAAGCGGAGGA